rnacentral:rRNA from 1 species
AGCCUUAAGAUUAUAUUUAAGGUAAUGCCUGCCCAGUGCUAAAGUGUUAACGGCCGCAGUACCUUGACUGUGCUAAGGUAGCAUAAUCAGUUGGCUUUUAAAUGGAGUCGGGAAUGAAUGGAUUUAUAGGGUAAAGCUGUCUCUUUUAUAUUUUAUUGAAUUUAAUUAUUAGGUGAAAAUACCUAAAAUUAAGAAAAAAGACGAGAAGACCCUAGGAGUUUUUACUAAUGGUCAAUUUAAGUUGGCUUCUGGUUUUUGUUGGGGCGACAUAGGAACAAACAACUUCCUUAUUUUAUAGGCCGACUGCGUAUGAAUAAUAAAACUACCCUAGGGAUAACAGCGUAAUUCUUUAUGGAGCUUGCGACCUCGAUGUUGGACUAGGAAUUUGAUUGGCUAGCCGCCACUUUAUAUUGUUCUGUUCGAACUUAAUUUCCU